GCGGGCUCGUAGGCUCCUCACACUGUCGUUGUCGUCGUUUAUGCAUUCAUCCAUGUCAUCUCUUGCGAAGAUUUCUGUUCGAUGUGCGCCUGCGAGAGUACUUCGUCACGUAAAAGGACUAGUGAAUUCACGACUUUAAUGUUAAAAUCUUUAACGGAAUUUUCUAUUUCGACGUCCACGAUUUAUUGAAUGUAAACACAGACAUGAUCGUACAUGAAGUGCAUGUCUGUGUUGUUGUUUAUUUUGUCACCCAGUCUCAUCUUUCGAAGUUACUCAAGCUAAUUUACGUUUAACUAAAUCGCACACAGGUAGUCAGGUCCUCGUAAAUGUUGAGAAAACAAGAACCAUGUGCUACCAUUAUGCUAAAAAAUACCAUGUGGUAGUGCUGCAAUAGCUGUACUGAGAGGUAAUUAAAGUGUGGCAAUACUUUUUGUCUGUCCAUAGAAUCAGUAAUGCCUGGAAUGGGUUCUACCUCCAUCAAGGAAGAACCACAAGAAAUCUCCCCUCUACCCGUAAACCAUCAAGAUGCAGAAGAGCUCAUCACUGCUGACUGUUUAGAAUUGAAACCAAGGGGCUGGGGCAUGUACAAGUCCUUAGCCUUUGCUACUUCAUGCCAGUUUCCCCACCCGUUCAGCACAUCUGGUGGAGAUGCUGGCAACCAGCGGAGGGAGUCGUCUGCGGAAGCAGGCAAGUUUGUUGAAGUAACGAAUAUAGUUGUAGAGAGUGCCAAAUCUCAACUGUGUUUAAUUUAAAGCUCAAGGCAAAUGGAUCUCGUGAUGCAUUGUCGGCUCUGAAAGAUCAUUCCCUGAUCAAGCAUGUUACGCCUCAGAGAAUGGUCACAAGAUCUCUGCUCACAUACAGUGAAUCAGUAAUGCCUGGAAUGGGUUCUACCU